GUUCAGAUGGAGACUGUUCCACCAACACCCUGCCUUAUUGUGUGAGGGUCCUCCUGCUUUGCUGCUGAGGCAUUUAUGUUGAGCAUCGACAAAGAGGUUGUCAACAACCACAUCACUUCCUUCACAUCUGCUAUCUGCCUGAUGUUUGGCAGUUACUACUGCUUCAACAUACACUACACAGUAGAACUACGGUCUACACUGGAGUUCCUCCAACGGUGUUUCUUUUCAAUAAAUCCUGAGAAAGGCACCAAAGUCGAGUGGAAUAAGAAGAAGAAAGUGUUCUCAGUUAAUCCCAGGGUCCUCACUCUGAUCUCAGACCUUGCUGACCAUGAGUGGACCUACCAGUGAUGGUGAAGGAUGAUAUUAUAAAAGGUACACUGCAUGUUAUAUACACUGCGGAUAUUUUGUUGUUAGAGUUAAAUUUCUGAAAGUUUUACAGAAUGUCUAGUUUCACAAGGUAAACUGUCUGGUACAGUUUGUACAUGUUCGACUUUACUGCACUGGUUUUUUA